rnacentral:rRNA from 1 species
CGCUGGCGGCGUGCCUAACACGAUGCAAGUCGAGCGGAGUCGGUAAGAGGAAGUUUCGGAUGGAAUCGUUAUUGAUUAGCGGCGGACGGGUGAGUAACGCGUGAGCGACCAACCUUGCACAGGGGAUAACGGACCGAAAGGUUCACUAAUACCGCAUGAGACCACGGUGUUGCGUGACACAGAGGUCAAAGGAGCAAUCCGGUGCAAGACGGGCUCGCGUCCGAUUAGGUAGUUGGAGGGGUAACGGCCCACCAAGCCUAUGAUCGGUAGCCGACCUGAGAGGGUGAUCGGCCACAUUGGAACUGAGAUACGGUCCAAACUCCUACGGGAGGCAGCAGUGGGGAAUAUUGGGCCAAUGGGGGAAACCCUGACCCAGCAACGCCGCGUGAAGGAAGAAGGUUUUCGGAUUGUAAACUUCUGUCCUUGGUGAAGAGAAGAAGACGGUAGCCAAGGAGGAAGCCCCGGCUAACUACGUGCCAGCCGCGGC